rnacentral:lncRNA from 1 species
UUCGAAAAGAGAGUAUUGAGGCAGUGAACUUUCUGUCUUUCUUCAACAAAUGCAUAAUACUGUGUUAUACCCUUGAGAGUUAGCUCAUCCAUAAGGUUGAUGACAUAAGGCUUCCGCAGGUAUCUAUCUUUGAAAUCUUUCACCGUGACAGGAAACGUAGCAGAGAACAUUAAGAUCUGACGGUUUGAAGGCAAAAAACGAAUUAACUGCUCGAUGGAAGGUUGGAACUCCGGUGACAAAAGCUUAUCAGCCUGAAAGACAGUGGUAGAAACAGGAUGAAGUUUACCCAUCAAUAAUCACUUCUUCACAAAGCCAGAACCAAAUAAAAAAAGAUCAUCGUAAAAUCAGAUGUCCACAAUCUGCCACGUGGUUUGGAAUGCCAUGACUCUACAAAAGUCAAUUCUGCUAAUUCAACCUUGGACCUUGGGCAUCAAUCAAUGGCAAGUAACAUAAAUGAACAUGCACAUAAAAAUAAAAAACCUUAAAUUGCAUGACUUCAAAUAUAAGUGCAUUUAUACCUGAUUUGCAGAAAACCUGAAAAUAAAUGCUAACAAAUAAAUAUGCAUAUAUGACAUGACUCACCAUUACCUUUCGACAAUGAACAGGAGUUGUCACCACAAUUAACGACAAUAUAUAGCCUGAUCUAUAUGUGGAGGGAUCUGCUUGAUCUCUGUCCCAAGUUCUUGUUCAAUCCUAUACCUGAAAGAUUCGAGUAGGAAAAUCAUAUAAUAAUCUCCAAAAAUGAAGUAAUAUUGUAUCACUGAAAAAUAGAAUAACAGCAUACAAAUUGAAACGGUCUUCAUAGGUUAUCAGAUUCACAGCUAACCCAAGAUGUCCAAACCUUCCAGAUCGUCCAACCUACACGACAGUAUUGUUGUCCAUGAGAAAAUAGCACAGCAGCGUGAAUGGUAAACUGGCAUAAAAUUUAACAUACCCUGUGUAAAUAUGUCUCUGAGUUCUUUGGAAAAUCAAAAUUGAUAACGACAUUGACUGCUUGGAUAUCUAUACCUCUCGUGAAUAGAUCUGCAAUAGAUUGCAUAAGGAAGAUAAUGCAUAAGGAAGAUAAAAUAAUUAUUGCAAUAAAGGAUAUAGGAUACUGUUUAACGAGAAAUACAAUUUUAUUGGAUGAGAGUAGAAUCAAAAUGCAGGCAAAAGUCAUGUCCUUCCUUUCUCCUCCAUCUAAUAAGUGGUUAGGAGAAAUGCAGCAUCCUUCAUUUAAGAACACGAAUUCAAUGAAUGCUUCACAAGGAAAAAUGUACACACAAAAAUAGCAAAUGUAGGACUGCAGGAGCGAUCACCUAAUAAUUACCUAUGCGGGAAUACAAAAAACUACCUAUUAAAAAAUAUACAAUCAACGUUAGUCAAGUUACAGUUAACGUAAUUGGAUUAUUUUAGAAAUGGCAGCGAUGAAACUAAUAAAAUGCAUUCCUUCAUCAAUUUAAGCGCAUUUUUGUUACUAGGAAAAAAUCAAGAAAGCCCUCGCAUUGAAAGCCUAAAAGUUGGUAGCAUGUCACUUCACCAAAUGCUUCAAAAAUAGCACAUGCCUAAGAAACUUUUCAACUAGUGCCCCUCUACAUUUCCUUGCUGUUAUAUUAAAACAUUCAAGAUUAACUUGUCUAUUUACUCUUACAACACGCACUAAUUGUUCACAAUCUGCACCAACUUGGAGGAAAAUACAUAUCCUACUUUCAUCACAACCAACCACGUGUAAUAUUAACAUUUCCCCACUGAAUCCAAUUGUCGCAAGCAGGGCACAAUAAAUCUAGGAGACUAAUAUAUGAACCAUUAUUGUUAAGAACCGUGGGCAUAAUCGAACAAGUUGAGCAUUGCAUACUCAUCUGAGAACAAAUGUCCAUGUAAAAGCACAGUUGUUGCAAGAAGAUGGAGAUCAUACCUGUGCAAACAAGAUUCCUACAGGCACCAUUGCGGAAGUCAUGAAAAACUCUGUUGCGAUGAUCUUGAAGCAUCUUAGCGUGAAUGUAGAAACAAGAAUAGCCAAGCUCCGUGAUUUUCUUGGCAAGAAGUUCUACUCGAUUCACAGAAUUGCAGAAAAUAAUAGAUUGGUUUAUUUGAAGCUGCAGGCAAAAAAUUUACACGUAUAUAAUCUCCAAAACAGAUUUUCCAUGGAGAAAACCACAAUGCAUCAUCCACAAGACAGUCAUUCUCAACAAGAGUUCUAACCUUCGAAAAGAGAGUAUUGAGGCAGUGAACUUUCUGUCUUUCUUCAACAAAUGCAUAAUACUGUGUUAUACCCUUGAGAGUUAGCUCAUCCAUAAGGUUGAUGACAUAAGGCUUCCGCAGGUAUCUAUCUUUGAAAUCUUUCACCGUGACAGGAAACGUAGCAGAGAACAUUAAGAUCUGACGGUUUGAAGGCAAAAAACGAAUUAACUGCUCGAUGGAAGGUUGGAACUCCGGUGACAAAAGCUUAUCAGCCUGAAAGACAGUGGUAGAAACAGGAUGAAGUUUACCCAUCAAUAAUCACUUCUUCACAAAGCCAGAACCAAAUAAAAAAAGAUCAUCGUAAAAUCAGAUGUCCACAAUCUGCCACGUGGUUUGGAAUGCCAUGACUCUACAAAAGUCAAUUCUGCUAAUUCAACCUUGGACCUUGGGCAUCAAUCAAUGGCAAUAGACCUUAAACAGCAACCAACAGAGGUGUAAAUACUUACAUUUUGAAGCAAAAAACUGUAACUAUACAAACUAGUUCU